UACGAAGGUGGCAAGCGUUACUCGGAAUUACUAGGCGUAAAGGGCAGGUAGGUGGUUUGAUAAGUCUGUUGUGUAAGCUCCCGGCUUAACUGGGAGAGGUCAACGGAAACUGUCAGGCUUGAGUAUAGGAGAGGUUACUGGAAUUCCCGGUGUAGCGGUGAAAUGCGCAGAUAUCAGGAAGAACACCCGUGGCGAAGGCGGCUCUCUGGGACGGUACUGACGCUGAGACGCGAAAGCCAGGGGAGCAAACGGG
rnacentral:rRNA from 1 species